GUCUACAGCCAUAUCACCCUGAACAUGCCCAAUCUCGUCUGAUCUUGGAAGCUAAGCAAGGUCAGGCCCGGUUAGUACUUGGAUGGGAGAACAGUCUUGUUUAAGAUG
rfam:Ovis aries breed Texel chromosome 6, whole genome shotgun sequence.